GAUGAAGAACGUAGCGAAAUGCGAUAACUAAUGUGAAUUGCAGAAUUCAGUGAAUCAUCGAGUCUUUGAACGCACAUUGCGCCCCCUAGUAUUCCGGGGGGCAUGCCUGUCCGAGCGUCAUUGCUGCCCUCAAGCACGGCUUGUGUGUUGGGCUCCGUCCCCCCGGGGACGGGCCCGAAAGGCAGCGGCGGCACCGAGUCCGGUCCUCGAGCGUAUGGGGCUUUGUCACCCGCUCUGUAGGCCCGGCCGGCGCCAGCCGACAACCCAUCAUCCUUUUCAGGUUGACCUCGGAUCAGGUAGGGAUACCCGCUGAACUUAAGCAUAUCAAUAAGCGGAGGA
rnacentral:misc_RNA from 1 species